rnacentral:rRNA from 1 species
GCAAGGAAUCUUGCGCAAUGGGCGAAAGCCUGACGCAGCGACGUCGCGUGGGGGAUGAAGGCCUUCGGGUUGUAAACCCCUUUUCUCAGGGAAGAAAACACUGACGGUACCUGAGGAAUAAGUCUCGGCUAACUACGUGCCAGCAGCCGCGGUAAUACGUAGGAGGCGAGCGUUAUCCGGAUUUACUGGGCGUAAAGCGAGCGCAGGCGGCUUUCUAAGUCGGAUGUGAAAUCUCCUGGCUUAACUGGGAGGGGCCGUCCGAAACUGGGGAGCUGGAGUGCAGCAGAGGGAAGCGGAAUUCCCGGUGUAGUGGUGAAAUACGUAGAUAUCGGGAGGAACACCAGUGGCGAAAGCGGCUUUCUGGGCUGUUACUGACGCUGAGGCUCGAAAGCGUGGGGAGCAAACAGGAUUAGAUACCCGGGUAGUCC